UUCAGUGAGAUGGGGGAGCUGCCAAGAGACCUAGAGGGGACCUCUAAUGACUCAGAGCUCUUAAGGAAAAUAGAAAAGGCACCACAGACUCCUCUCUUGGGGAGAAAUCUGUGUUUCCCCCACAGAACUGGAACCCCAAGAGUUGCAAGUGGACAGAUACCUCUCAAGUCAACUCUGCCCUCUUUUGUAUUUCAUGACUGGAUCUCCUUGGUCCCAGAGACUGCUCUGUCCUGCGCUGUGAGAGCCUGACCUUGCGUGUGUGAUGGCUGCCAGAGGCGGCUCACUGCAGUUGUUUACAGUAAAUGACUCUAUCUAAAAGCUCCACAAGUGAUUCUAACAUGCAGCCAAGGUUGGAACCAUGUCUAACCUAACAGAUGAGCAGCAGCCCUGCAAGAUGGAGGCUCCAAAUGACGGAGGGCCUUCGAGGGCAGGCAGGCGGCCGCUGCUCCUUGCCAGGGCUUGUCGGCAAGGCCAUGGCUUCCUUUUCCAUGUGUGUCCAGCUCCAGCAGGACUGAAAGUCCCCACAGACAGGAUCAAGUUGGCUGGCUACAGAUAAAAGGACACAUUGUCUACUUAGCCCAAGUGGAAAAUCAGGCCCAAGAGGCCGCCUGGGCACCUGGAUUCACAUCAAUACAAGUGAAACAGCCACAUGGCCCACCAUCCUCUAUGGUACAGAAGAGCCUCAAAAUUCAAAACAAAACAAAAACUGAGGAGAACCUAGGAAGUCAAAAC
rnacentral:lncRNA from 10 species